AAUUCUUUGGUCAAUUUAUUAACUCCUAAAUACUGUCCAAUCAUAAACAUCCGAUCGCACAGAUUUUAGGUUUCGAAUACGUAACUAUCAUCUGCCAUCGGAAUGAUUUGCAAGUUGAGUGAUAUAUAUACUUGGGUACUUGGGUUGGAGUGGCGUUUGUUUAUGUAUAUGUGUACGGGGACCCAUAGUUUGGUGGAGAUGAAUGAGAUAUCUAAUCAUUUUGAUAUAUUCUGGUUCCAUUGGAAGGUCCGGGUGAGCUGAUAUCAGUGGGGGCUUGAGGACCAUUGAAGUUUGGCAGCUACAGCCUUUAGUCUUCUCUGAGUUUGAGUGCCUUUCACAGUUUCACUGCAUCUGUUCUCGUGCCUGACAUAGUCGUCUAGCUUGCUCCUUCCUCUUGUUUUUGUUUAUUGCGUGCGUAUAAGAAAACCGUGCUGGUUUCUCAGUUCAGGCAUGUGCUCGGUCAUGUGCAGAUGAAGAAAUUUCUGGGAGUAAACAACAAUUUAACAUGCAGGAAGCAUCAAAGUUUGUAGUUUUCUCAGAGUGUAAAACCAAUGAUGCAUGCAUGGAGGAAUGUCAUUCGAUGAAUGCGAGCUUCCCUCCGACGUAUUGUCCUCAGUGGCAGAGGGAGCUACAGUCGUCAAUUUUGUUCUGCUGGAGAAACAACAAAUAUAUCAGCUAUUAUAGUGAUGGGAUUAGAUUGUGGUCAAGUAUGGUUCCAACAUACGGCAUCGGAUUGUAGAAGAUAAGUUGAUGAGGCAGAAGGCUCAGCUCUUACUUGAUGAGGCUGCUUCCUAGUCCCUCCUGUGUUACCUCUUUGGAAAAGGGACCAAAGAGAUCCCUAAAGAGCUCAUCUUGGUAAUUCAUUUUCCCUAAAGAUCUAAAGCAUAUUGAUUCUUUGGCAUUAUUGCAGGUAUGUGUGUCUUGACUGGCUGUGAUUUCCUUCGAUCUGUUCCUGGAAUUGGGAUUGGUAAAGCUUAUGCCUUGGUUUCUAAGUAUAGGGUAAUUUUUGUUUUAUUAUAAACUUUUGCUUAUUUAGAAGCAUUAUUCAGACGACAUAAUUUUUUGAUACUAUAUUGCCAUACAUUAGUUUUGGCAUUUGACAGGAUCAAAUUUCUAUAUUGAAUAAAGAGAAUGGCUCAUUGAAACAAAAUCUGGACACAACUAUUGCAUCUCUAAAUGCCUCUAGAAUUGAAAACUACAAAGCGGCAGCAAAUGGGACCAACUUGCACAAGGGAAGUAGUAAUCAGUCACCCAACCGACAACAAAGAUUGACAGGUCAUGCAAAAACCAGCUACUCUGGACACCAGAAACAAAAUGGUGUUGUCUAUACACAAAAUGGGAAUGGGAUAAGCAAUGGGAUUGCGCAUCUUUCAAACAUGCAGGGGAAUGAAAGGGAGCAUCUACAAUUCAGUAUCAUCUCUUUAUCAGCAUAUAUUGCAGGAUUGGGGUCCUAAGGGAAAUUGGAAAAAGUCAAGUCUAACUUCUUGUUGAUUUACUAAUCGCCUCGGCAACUCAAGAAACUGCUCUUGCUUCCACCACGGUUAGGUCUAUUUCCAUCACCUUGACCGACCUGGAUGCGCUUGAUUGUCCCAUUUGCUAUGAAUCCUUGACCAUCCCCGUCUUUCAGUUCUCUGGUUUGGAGGUCUAGCGCAAAACACAAGCCCCAAAGAGUUGGAAAGGAGCAUCUGCUCGAAGAUGAGGAUAUUGUUUAGAUUAUCAAAAAGGUGUGAUUUGGCAGGAACUCAGAAAUAUGUGCAACCUUAGCAUCAAGAUAUCGUUUGUAGGUUUAGCUUUUGAGACACACAAGCUUGUACUUUGCAGAGUAUGCAACACUCUUUUUGUCUGUUCUUUUAGUCGUAAGGGUAGGUAAUGUUUAAGGUAGCUUGUUAAGUGAUAUCAAGGAAUCUUACUGCACCUUUUUGUUAUCAAAGCUAUUCUUGAUAUAGAAGGAAGCUAAGAAGUUUGCUUAUUAGAAUGGAGCAAAGGUGGUUGUUGUUUAUGGUGGAGCGCCAAUGGGUCAGCAGGUUUGUGUCUCUGCAAGCUCACUGGCCAUUCUGUUUUCUGUGACCACUUCUAUGAUUCGGGUGAUUCCAUUCAUGAUCAGAUUGUGAAACUACCACACCUAGCUAGUUCCUUUAUUAACUUGUGUCUAGUAGAAAUUUUUCAUUCAUUAAGCAUUUGAACUUGUCUGCAGAUCCAAAUUAGUAGAUAUGCGUUAUUUUGAACUGAUGUUCAUGAUUAUGUUUGUGUACAUGAGACAAUGGUGGAUUAAUGGAAAUUGCAAGGAA